rnacentral:rRNA from 1 species
UACGUAGGGUGCAAGCGUUAAUCGGAAUUACUGGGCGUAAAGCGUGCGCAGGCGGUUUUUUAAGUCUGAUGUGAAAUACCCCGGCUCAACCUGGGAAUUGCAUUGGAGACUGCAAGGCUAGAAUCUGGCAGAGGGAGGUAGAAUUCCACGUGUAGCAGUGAAAUGCGUAGAUAUGUGGAGGAACACCGAUGGCGAAGGCAGCCCCCUGGGUCAAGAUUGACGCUGAUGCACGAAAGCGUGGGGAGCAAACAGG